CAGGUGAAGCAGGUGAUGUUACAAAAUGGCUUCCAGCGGUCAUUGUCCUCCUCAUUGCAUCGAUUAUUCUCAUUGUUCUGGUUUGGUAUUUUAAAUUUAGACGGACACAUUUGCAGCCAGCGCAGGUCCAAACCAUUGAAGAGGUUACACAACAGGAGCCAGCCCAAAGUGAAGAUAGUCUCCACUACGGAGCCGUGACAUUCAACUCAAAGACGCCUCAUGCCGUCAUCAGCAGCACACAGGAGGACACCAUGUACUCACAAGUCAAAAGGUCCAACAUUAACAUCAGAGCGGCUGCAGAAAUGGCCGAUAUAUAUGCACAGGUUCAGAAAACAUAACUCAAAAUUCUGUUGUUUACCUGCACAGAACUUCUAAUGUGCCUUGAAAAGUUUGUAGUUUGGUUUUACUUUUCCUUAAAGCUACUCUUUGUAACUUUU